UGACGAUGUACCAUUCGCCGUCGCCGUCGCCGGCAGAACUCGGUUGUGAAGAGCAUCGCACUGAUUAAUCAACCGGUAAAGUAAAUCAGUCAUGAAAAACGGCUGUUGUAAUACCUUUUGUAUAAACGGAAGACGAAGAACAGCGCCGAUCCUGAAUCAGUAUCAAAAACAACAAUCAAUACAAAUACAAAUACAAGAUCAAAAUAUAGAGUUCUCAGAUCUGGUUACCUUUAAUUUGAUGAUGUAAUCUUCUUCUUUGCCGAUGAAGAACGAAUUGAAUUUCUCGAUCUCGAUUUCAAGUAAAUCGAUGAAAUCGUUCUCUUCUUUGGUUAUAUUAUCGAU